AAACCGAAAAACAUUAUAAUGUUUAAGUUACGUAAAACUCUCAGUUACAAAAUCUUGAUAUUUUAAAAAAAAUUACAAUCCCAAUGACACUUACGUGCGUACAACACAAAAUUUUGUACCACAGUUUUCAAAACAGUACUUACAAUUCAAAACUGUUUAAUUAUAAAAUCAAAAUUUAUAAAUAUACUAUUAAAGCCUACUUUUAACCGUGACAGUCCGAGACCUCUGCAUACCGAG
rnacentral:lncRNA from 1 species